UACGUACACUACCAUUCUGAGGCUUUGCU
rnacentral:piRNA from 1 species